rnacentral:piRNA from 2 species
UAAAGUUUCAAGGGAUCUGCUGCC